CAGCUCUCACAGUUGAAUUCGUCAAAGGUAGAGAGGGGGCAGGUGGAACAGCUCCAGGGCUGGUGGGGAACCAGCAUACGCCCGAUCCAGCAGAUCCAGGACAGGGAUCUGGAUGGUACUGGUUCAGACUGUCAUUCUUCAGGUCCCCGGGACUCUAGCUGCCUGCCCCGCAGGAGACAGUGGCCCCCCCUCAGUGGGAUACGCGCUGGACGGGGUACAGUGCCUCCUUUCAAAUAGCGUCUCCCCUGGUCUGCCAUGGUUCCUGAAAUUCCCACCACACAUGAUACUCUUCUGGAUGAUAGCCUUCAUCUCUGAAAAGCCUUAGUUAUUAUCUCAAUUUUGAAUAUGAGGAAAUGAAGGCUCUGGGUUCAAGUAAGUGCCUUGCUCAAGCUCAAGAUCAACCACUGGCAAGACUAGAGCAUGAACCCCUUCCAUUUGAACCUGAAGUCUAUGCUCUUGCUUUACCACUACACUGUGGCAAGAAGAGCUGUUUGAUCUUGCACAGUCCUGGUGCGGUGCGUGAUCAUUUGAUCUAAUGAUUUAGGCCCCUGAGCAUUAGAAGGGAAAAGAAAUUUCAAAGGUUUUCUUCUUUACGUUUCCUUUUGCUGGCUACUGCAGCAUUGUCUUAAUCUCAGUCACCAACUAUUUACUGACCGCUGACACAAGGUGCUAAACACUUUGUGAGGCACCAUGAGGACACAGGAUCAUUUCAAGACACGGGUCUUGUCCUUAAGGAGCCUUCGUUUGAAGAAAUAAGAGUAAUUCAUAAAACAGCAAGGGAUCCCACAAACCAGAACAGAGGAAGUGCUACCCAGUGAAAGUACAUUUGGCUUCUAAGUGCUCCAAGAGAGCGCAAAGGAUGACUGUGGGCUCAGUUAGAUGAUUGCUGGGGGAAGGUGCACCUAACACCUUGAUGACAGGGUAUCAGGAAGCAGUGAAGAGAAAAUGGGAAAGUGGAGACACAGAAAAGAGGUUUGUUGUUACUUUUAUUUUUUAAAAUGAGCAUGAGACCAGUGAUUCAAUCUUAGAGGAACGUUAGGGGAUUCGAUCAAGAGAGGAGGUAGGAGAGGUAGGUGAUGUGUCUAAGCCAAGGGAGACACCAGUUUCAAGGAGGUCAUCGACCCUGUUGAAUGAAGUUACCAGACAGACCUCUGAUGGAGAAAUGGCCAUUAGAUUGUGCAAGAAGAAAUGAUGAACAUCUGAGCCACCUUGCUGCAGGGUGGAGAGAGAAGCUAGACCCAAAGACAGUUACAGAGUCCCAGACCCUCUGCCCAGAUGGAUGCUGAGUGGGGAAAUCAGGAGUCUGUCAUCCAGGCCAUUUAGGGCUGCUGCCAUAUCACAGGUGAAGUAACGAGCGACUUGCCUGGAAGGUGGGGGACACCGCGCUGCUCUUAGUAAAGGCCGAAGCAAUAUACAGAUUCAAUGUAGGCUCGUGCUCUAAUCUCAACAUCCCACACAUCCUCCUUCAGACUCCAUAUCCUGUUCUUAAAUUCUAGAUUGUAUCUGUCCACAGAGGCUCACAAGUACAACCUCUUGGUUUUUCUAAAGCUUAUCACAACCCCGUGUCAUGAAUGAAAGAAAGAAUGGGGGAAGACUUUAAGUAUAAUAAAAUCUUAACUAAUUUGAAUGUUUGGAA